GCGCCCGUAGCUCAGAUGGAUAGAGCAACGGCCUUCUAAGCCGUGGGUCGCAGGUUCGAAUCCUGCCGGGCGCGCCA
rnacentral:tRNA from 1 species